rnacentral:rRNA from 1 species
GAUGCACGCUGGCGGCGUGCCUAAUACAUGCAAGUCGAGCGAAGCGGGGACGGGUGAGUAACACGUGGAUAACCUCCUAUAAGACUGGGAUAAAUUCGGGAAACCGGAGCUCAACCGGAUACUUAUACAUUGAUCAGCUAUGCAUUAGCUAUUUGGUAAGGUAACGGCUUACCAAGGCAACGAUGCAGAGCCGACCUGAGAGGGUGAUCGGCCACACUGGAACUGAGACACGGUCCAGACUCCUACGGGAGGCAGCAGUAGGGAAUCUUCCGCAAUGGGCGAAAGCCUGACGGAGCAACGCCGCGUGAGUGAUGAAGGUCUUCGGAUCGUAAAACUCUGUUAUUAGGGAAGCGGUACCUAAUCAGAAAGCCACGGCUAACUACGUGCCAGCAGCCGCGGUAAUUC